rnacentral:rRNA from 1 species
GACGAACGCUGGCGGCGUGCCUAACACAUGCGAGUCGAACGGAGUCGGCCCCGCAAGGGACUGACUUAGUGGCGAACGGGUGAGUAACGCGUGAGCAACCUGCCUUUCAGUGGGGGACAACAGUUGGAAACGACUGCUAAUACCGCAUAAUGCAUUUUGACCGCAUGAUCGAGAUGCCAAAGAUUUAUUGCUGAAAGAUGGGCUCGCGUCUGAUUAGAUAGUUGGUGAGGUAACGGCCCACCAAGUCGACGAUCAGUAGCCGGACUGAGAGGUUGAACGGCCACAUUGGGACUGAGAUACGGCCCAGACUCCUACGGGAGGCAGCAGUGGGGAAUAUUGGGCAAUGGGGGAAACCCUGACCCAGCAACGCCGCGUGAAGGAAGAAGGCUUUCGGGUUGUAAACUUCUUUUACCAGGGACGAAGAAAGUGACGGUACCUGGAGAAAAAGCCACGGCUAACUACGUG